GAUUGAUCCAACACAGCUUUUACUAUCUAGAACAUAAGAAGGAGGGAUAUGGAGAUAUGAUAUCCUACUAAAGAGCUCCAAAUCCAAUUCUCUUUAUAUUGUCAUAGAGAUGCUGCAUUCCUAUGGACAAAACAUUACUUUGUUGAAAAUCACGAUUGACUACAGCCAUUGGAUGGUAGAACCCCAUAUUACAAUAGCUCUCACGAAGAAAGGAGUUAUCCUUCGGAAACG